rfam:Chelonobacter oris strain 1662 contig000014, whole genome shotgun sequence.
UCACAUUCCAUAUUCGUUCCUUGCUUCCGCAGAUUGGUGACUGGUCUACCGUCGGAGGCUGAUUAACCCGUAAGGAGCAGCAGCAAUG